AGACCCGAAACCCGGUGAUCUAGCCAUGGGCAGGUUGAAGGUUGGGUAACACUAACUGGAGGACCGAACCGACUAAUGUUGAAAAAUUAGCGGAUGACUUGUGGCUGGGGGUGAAAGGCCAAUCAAACCGGGAGAUAGCUGGUUCUCCCCGAAAGCUAUUUAGGUAGCGCCUCGUGAAUUCAUCUCCGGGGGUAGAGCACUGUUUCGGCAAGGGGGUCAUCCCGACUUACCAACCCGAUGCAAACUGCGAAUACCGGAGAAUGUUAUCACGGGAGACACACGGCGGGUGCUAACGUCCGUCGUGAAGAGGGAAACAACCCAGACCGCCAGCUAAGGUCCCAAAGUCAUGGUUAAGUGGGAAACGAUGUGGGAAGGCCCAGACAGCCAGGAUGUUGGCUUAGAAGCAGCCAUCAUUUAAAGAAAGCGUAAUAGCUCACUGGUCGAGUCGGCCUGCGCGGAAGAUGUAACGGGGCUAAACCAUGCACCGAAGCUGCGGCAGCGACACUGUGUGUUGUUGGGUAGGGGAGCGUUCUGUAAGCCUGUGAAGGUGUGCUGUGAGGCAUGCUGGAGGUAUCAGAAGUGCGAAUGCUGACAUAAGUAACGAUAAAGCGGGUGAAAAGCCCGCUCGCCGGAAGACCAAGGGUUCCUGUCCAACGUUAAUCGGGGCAGGGUGAGUCGACCCCUAAGGCGAGGCCGAAAGGCGUAGUCGAUGGGAAACAGGUUAAUAUUCCUGUACUUGGUGUUACUGCGAAGGGGGGACGGAGAAGGCUAUGUUGGCCGGGCGACGGUUGUCCCGGUUUAAGCGUGUAGGCUGGUUUUCCAGGCAAAUCCGGAAAAUCAAGGCUGAGGCGUGAUGACGAGGCACUACGGUGCUGAAGCAACAAAUGCCCUGCUUCCAGGAAAAGCCUCUAAGCAUCAGGUAACAUCAAAUCGUACCCCAAACCGACACAGGUGGUCAGGUAGAGAAUACCAAGGCGCUUGAGAGAACUCGGGUGAAGGAACUAGGCAAAAUGGUGCCGUAACUUCGGGAGAAGGCACGCUGAUAUGUAGGUGAAGUCCCUCGCGGAUGGAGCUGAAAUCAGUCGAAGAUACCAGCUGGCUGCAACUGUUUAUUAAAAACACAGCACUGUGCAAACACGAAAGUGGACGUAUACGGUGUGACGCCUGCCCGGUGCCGGAAGGUUAAUUGAUGGGGUCAGCGCAAGCGAAGCUCUUGAUCGAAGCCCCGGUAAACGGCGGCCGUAACUAUAACGGUCCUAAGGUAGCGAAAUUCCUUGUCGGGUAAGUUCCGACCUGCACGAAUGGCGUAAUGAUGGCCAGGCUGUCUCCACCCGAGACUCAGUGAAAUUGAACUCGCUGUGAAGAUGCAGUGUACCCGCGGCAAGACGGAAAGACCCCGUGAACCUUUACUAUAGCUUGACACUGAACAUUGAGCCUUGAUGUGUAGGAUAGGUGGGAGGCUUUGAAGUGUGGACGCCAGUCUGCAUGGAGCCGACCUUGAAAUACCACCCUUUAAUGUUUGAUGUUCUAACGUGGACCCGUGAUCCGGGUUGCGGACAGUGUCUGGUGGGUAGUUUGACUGGGGCGGUCUCCUCCUAAAGAGUAACGGAGGAGCACGAAGGUUGGCUAAUCCUGGUCGGACAUCAGGAGGUUAGUGCAAUGGCAUAAGCCAGCUUGACUGCGAGCGUGACGGCGCGAGCAGGUGCGAAAGCAGGUCAUAGUGAUCCGGUGGUUCUGAAUGGAAGGGCCAUCGCUCAACGGAUAAAAGGUACUCCGGGGAUAACAGGCUGAUACCGCCCAAGAGUUCAUAUCGACGGCGGUGUUUGGCACCUCGAUGUCGGCUCAUCACAUCCUGGGGCUGAAGUAGGUCCCAAGGGUAUGGCUGUUCGCCAUUUAAAGUGGUACGCGAGCUGGGUUUAGAACGUCGUGAGACAGUUCGGUCCCUAUCUGCCGUGGGCGCUGGAGAACUGAGGGGGGCUGCUCCUAGUACGAGAGGACCGGAGUGGACGCAUCACUGGUGUUCGGGUUGUCAUGCCAAUGGCACUGCCCGGUAGCUAAAUGCGGAAGAGAUAAGUGCUGAAAGCAUCUAAGCACGAAACUUGCCCCGAGAUGAGUUCUCCCUGACCCUUUAAGGGUCCUGAAGGAACGUUGAAGACGACGACGUUGAUAGGCCGGGUGUGUAAGCGCAGCGAUGCGUUGAGCUAACCGGUACUAAUGAACCGUGAGGCUUAACCUUACAACG
rnacentral:rRNA from 1 species